GACGAACGCUGGCGGCGUGCUUAACACAUGCAAGUCGAACGGAAAGGCCCUGCUUUUGUGGGGUACUCGAGUGGCGAACGGGUGAGUAACACGUGAGUAACCUGCCCUUGACUUUGGGAUAACUUCAGGAAACUGGGGCUAAUACCGGAUAGGAGCUCCUGCUGCAUGGUGGGGGUUGGAAAGUUUCGGCGGUUGGGGAUGGACUCGCGGCUUAUCAGCUUGUUGGUGGGGUAGUGGCUUACCAAGGCUUUGACGGGUAGCCGGCCUGAGAGGGUGACCGGCCACAUGGGGACUGAGAUACGGCCCAGACUCCUACGGGAGGCAGCAGUGGGGAAUAUUGCACAAUGGGCGGAAGCCUGAUGCAGCAACGCCGCGUGCGGGAUGACGGCCUUCGGGUUGUAAACCGCUUUCGCCUGUGACGAAGCGUGAGUGACGGUAAUGGGUAAAGAAGCACCGGCUAACUACGUG
rnacentral:rRNA from 1 species